rnacentral:rRNA from 1 species
CCCUUAGAUGUUCUGGGCCGCACGCGGGCUACACUGUUCGACGCAGCGAGUCUUAACCUUGACCGAAAGGUUUGGGUAAUCUUCAGCAAAGUCGAACGUGAUGGGGAUCGAUCAUUGCAAUUAUUGAUCGUGAACGAGGAAUUCCUAGUAAGUGCAAGUCAUCAGCUUGCGCUGAUUACGUCCCUGCCCUUUGUACACACCGCCCGUCGCUACUACCGAUUGAAUGGUUUAGUGAGAUCUCUGGAUUGACGCUGGCUAGGGGGCGACCCUUGGCCAGGCUGUCGAGAAACUGCUCAAACUUGAUCAUUUAGAGGAAGUAAAAGUCGUAACA